rnacentral:sRNA from 1 species
UAUUCUGCCCCAUGGGGAAGGAUGAGAAGCUUCGACUAAGGUUCGACUCGAGCGCCAGCGAGAGAACGUUGCCGCAGGCAACGGCCCGAAGGGCGAGGAGAGAUAGCGACGAGUUAUCCUUUCCCCACCACCA